UGGGGAAUUUUGCACAAUGGGGGGAACCUUGAUGCAGCGACGCCGCGUGAGGGAUGGAGGCCUUCGGGUUGUGAACCUCUUUCGCUCGUGUGCAAGCCGCUAUUUGGGUAGUGGUGAGUGUAGCGGGUAAAGAAGCGCCGGCUAACUACGUGCCAGCAGCCGCGGUAAUACGUAGGGCGCGAGCGUUGUCCGGAUUUAUUGGGCGUAAAGGGCUUGUAGGCGGUUUGUCGCGCCUGUCGUGUAAUCCUCUGGCUUAACUGGGGGUGUGCGGUGGGUAUGGGCAAGCUUGAGUGCGGUAGGGGAGAUUGGAAUUCCUGGUGUAGCGGUGGAAUGCGCAGAUAUCAGGAGGAACACCGGUGGCGAAGGCGGGUCUCUGGGCCGUUACUGACGCUGAGGAGCGAAAGCGUGGGGAGCGAACAGG
rnacentral:rRNA from 1 species